rnacentral:rRNA from 1 species
CAGUCGCCACGGGAAUACGGAGGGUGCAAGCGUUAAUCGGAAUUACUGGGCGUAAAGCGUGCGUAGGCGGUUCGUUAAGUCUAUUGUGAAAGCCCCGGGCUCAACCUGGGAAUGGCAAUGGAUACUGGCGAGCUAGAGUGUGUCAGAGGAUGGUGGAAUUCCCGGUGUAGCGGUGAAAUGCGUAGAGAUCGGGAGGAACAUCAGUGGCGAAGGCGGCCAUCUGGGACAACACUGACGCUGAGGCACGAAAGCGUGGGGAGCAAACAGGAUUAGAUACCCGCGUAGUCCCUGUCUCUUAUAC